UGUUUCUCAGAUUUAUACUAGCUGACCUAACCUAAAAAAUGAAUCACUGUUCAAUCUGGAGUAAGAAGGGUACACUAAUGGCAGAAAUAUAUCAUCCAGAGUGAAAAAUAGGCUGAAUGUGCCAUGGUGAGUCUCACCGGGGUAAAUCAAGUCACAGGUAUCAUCUGCUGAAACUUCUGCCUAAAGGACAAAAGAUUCACAGUGUGAGUAGCCCAGGCUGCCCGUAAACUGAAGGUCCGUAUGUUUCACCCUCCUGUGCGCUGAGACUCCAGAGUUAAUUGUAUUUUAAUGAGGAAUGCACCAUGUUAUUCUCAAUUGACUGGCAAACACCCCAUGACUCAACAGCAAGAGCAAUGAAGCUAAGAAGGAAGUUGCAGCACUUUCCUACCCAGCCUGCUCCACACUCCACUGUCAGUCAAGCACGCCACAAAAGAAGAAUGCUCAGAUUGUUUGCAAAUGAGCAACGAAUGAUUCAAAGUGGUACUAAGCAGAACUCCUGUGUCCUUGGUUAUUGAAGAUCUUCUGGGAGACAGGCAGACUGUGGGCUGUGGAAGGGUGCCAGCAUGCCAAUCUGCCCCGGGUGGAGAAGCAGACCAGAAGGAAGGUGGAGCUUGGCAGGGCAGAUAAAACUGACCACCACAGAAUAACAAAACAGAUAAAGAACCCUUGAAUCUUGUAAUGAUUAGCGAGGAAAAGGCAGAGCACAGCGACAUUGGCUGACUAAAGCUAACUUAGAAGAUGUGGAUUUUUUCGACAGUCUAUAUUUAUUAUUGAAGAAGUUCAAGGCAUCAUUGGAUCAUUGGCAGAAUGACUUUCCUCCUACUAGCAGCCAACAAUUG